rnacentral:rRNA from 1 species
CAGCACCUCAAGUGGUCAGGAGGAUUAUUGGGCCUAAAGCAUCCGUAGCCUGUUCUAUAAGUUUCCGGUUAAAUCCAUUAGCUCAACUAAUGGGCUGCCGAAAAUACUGUGGAACUAGGGAGUGGGAGAGGUAGACGGUACUCGGUAGGAAGGGGUAAAAUCCUUUGAUCUAUUGAUGACCACCUGUGGCGAAGGCGGUCUACCAGAACACGUUCGACGGUGAGGGAUGAAAGCUGGGGGAGCAAAACGGAUUAGAUACCCGAGUAGUCC